rnacentral:rRNA from 1 species
UACGUAGGCAGCGAGCGUUGUUCGGAAUUACUGGGCGUAAAGAGUGUGUAGGCGGUGCUCUAAGUUCGGUGUGAAAUCUCCCGGCUUAACUGGGAGGGUGCGCCGGAAACUGGAGUGCUCGAGCGUGGGAGAGGAAAGCGGAAUUCCUGGUGUAGCGGUGAAAUGCGUAGAUAUCAGGAGGAACACCGGUGGUGUAGACGGCUCUCUGGACCGUAACUGACGCUGAGGCACGAAAGCGUGGGUAGCAAACAGG